CGCCCCGAGUGGCGACGCUCUAGUCGCCAUUUGUCUAUGGCAGGCAGGGUGGCCGCCUUAGCUGCCGGAGGUUCCGCGCUCUCUAAGGCCCUGGGUGAAGCCCCACCUCUGCUGCGCGCAGCCUGCGGUGCGGGUCAUGGCGCGGCUACCGAAGCUGGCAGUCUUUGAUUUGGAUUACACUCUCUGGCCUUUCUGGGUCGACACGCACGUAGACCCUCCGUUCCAUAAGAGCAGUGAUGGAACUGUACGAGAUAGGCGGGGCCAAGACGUCCGACUGUACCCAGAGGUGCCUGAGGUCCUAAAACGAUUGCAGAGCCUUGGGGUGCCCGGUGCGGCUGCUUCAAGGACAAGUGAGAUAGAAGGGGCCAACCAGCUACUGGAGCUCUUUGACCUUAUCAGGUACUUUGUUCAUCGGGAAAUCUAUCCAGGCAGCAAGAUCACACACUUUGAGAGGUUGCAGCAGAAGACUGGAAUUCCUUUCUCCCAGAUGAUCUUCUUUGAUGAUGAGAGGCGGAAUAUUGUAGACGUCAGCAAACUGGGUGUUACCUGCAUUCACAUCCAGAAUGGAAUGAAUCUUCAAACUCUAAGUCAAGGGUUACAGACAUUUGCGAAGGCCCAAACUGGGCCUUGAGGUCCAGCCUUGAGGAGAGCCCAUUUGAGGCCUAAACUGAAAGGAAAUCAAGAAGGCAUUUUCAGGGAAGAAGGAGAAAGGGCCAACCCCUGAAGAAGCAAUACAGAAACUGAAGGAGACAGAGAAGAUACUGAUCAAGAAACAGGAAUUUUUGGAGCAGAAGAUUCAACAGGAGCUACAAACAGCCAAGAAGUA